rnacentral:rRNA from 1 species
GGUUUGAUUCUGGCUCAGACUGAACGCUGGCGGGAUGCUUUACACAUGCAAGUCGAACGGCAGCACGGACUUCGGUCUGGUGGCGAGUGGCGAAUGAAGAGAAUGUAUCGGAACGUGCCUAGUAGCGUGGAUAACGACGUUAAAGCGAAGCAAUACCGCAUGGGCCACCCUUCGGGGAAAGCGGGGACCUUCUUCGGGCCUCGCACUAUUAGAGCGGCCGAUAUCGGAUUAGCUAGCUUGCAACGGCUCACCAAGGCGACGAUCCGUAGCUGGUUUGAGGACGACCAGCCACACUGGGACUGAGACACGGCCCAGACUCCUACGGGAGGCAGCAGUGGGGAAUUUUGGACAAUGGGGAAACCUCCUGAUCCAGCCAUCCCGCGUGUGCGAUGAAGGCCUUCGGGUUGUAAAGCACUUUUUGGCAGGAAAAGAAACGGCACGGGAUAAUACUCCAAACAACUGACGGUACCUGCAGAAUAAGCACCGGCUAACUACAAACAGCAAAGCCGCGGUAAUACGUAGGGUGCAAGCGUUAACGGAAUUACUGCUAAAGCGUGCGCAGGCGGUUCGGAAAGAAAGAUGUGAAAUCCCAGAGCUUAACUUUGGGAACUGCAUUUUUAACUACCGAGCUAGAGUGUGUCAGAGGGAGGUGGAAUUCCAGAGAAAAUGCGAUAUGCGUGGAGAAUACCGAUGGCAGGCGCAGCCUCGGGAUAACACUGACGCUCUACACGAAAGCGUGGGGAGCAAACAGGAUUAGAUACUCCUGGUGGUAAUCCGACGCCUCUGGAACGAUGUCAUUAACUAGCUGUUGGGGCCUUCGGGCCUUGGUAGCGCAGCGAUCAUAGUAGUUGACCGCUCUUGGGAGUACGGUCGCAAGAUUAAAACUCAAAGGAAUUGGAUGUAGGGACCCGCACAAGCGGUGGAUGAUGUGGAUUAAUGAUGCACGCGAAAAACCUUACCUACCCUUGACAUGUCUGGAAUCCCGAAGAGAUUUGGGAUGCUCUGCAGAACCGGAACACAGGUGCUGCAUGGCUGUCGUCAGCUCGUGUCGUGAGAUGUUGGGUUAAGUCCCGCAACGAGCGCAACCCUUGCUGCACGAAGUUGCUACGAAAGGGCACUUCAAUGAGACUGCCGGUGACAAACCGGAGGAAGGUGGGGAUGACGUCAAGUCCUCAUGGCCCUUAUGGGUAGGGCUUCACACGUCAUACAAUGGUCGGGACAGAGGGUCGCCAACCCGUGAGGGGGAGCCAAUCCCAGAAACCUGAUUCGUAGUCCGGAUCGUGGCUCACAACUCGACUGCGUGAAGUCGGAAUCGCUAAUCGCGGAUCAGCAUGUCGCGGUGAAUACGUUCCCGGUCUUGUACACCGCCCGUCACACCAUGGGAGUGGGUUUUACCAGAAGUAGUUAGCCCAACUGCAAGGAGGGCGAUUACCACGGUAGGAUUCAUGGCUGGGGUGAAGUCGUAACAAGGUAA